GAUGAACGCUGGCGGCGUGCCUAAUACAUGCAAGUCGAGCGAACGGACGAGAAGCUUGCUUCUCUGAUGUUAGCGGCGGACGGGUGAGUAACACGUGGAUAACCUACCUAUAAGACUGGGAUAACUUCGGGAAACCGGAGCUAAUACCGGAUAAUAUUUUGAACCGCAUGGUUCAAAAGUGAAAGACGGUCUUGCUGUCACUUAUAGAUGGAUCCGCGCUGCAUUAGCUAGUUGGUAAGGUAACGGCUUACCAAGGCAACGAUGCAUAGCCGACCUGAGAGGGUGGUCGGCCACACGGGAACAGAGACAGGGUACAGACUCCUACGGGAGGCAGCAGUAGGGAAUCUUCCGCGAUGGGCGAAAGCCUGACGGAGCAACGCCGCGUGAGUGAUGAAGGUCUUCGGAUCGGAAAACUCUGUUAUUAGGGAAGAACAAAUGUGUAAGUAACUGUGCACAUCUUGACGGUACCUAAACAGAAAGCCACGGCUAACUACGUG
rnacentral:rRNA from 1 species